rnacentral:tRNA from 1 species
GUCAGGAUGGCCGAGUGGUCUAAGGCGCCAGACUCAAGGCUUGGCUUUCCCUGCCCAGGGAUUUCUGGUCUCCAAAUGGAGGCGUGGGUUCAAAUCCCACUUCUGACA